rnacentral:rRNA from 1 species
CCUACGGGAGACAGCAGUGGGGAAUAUUGCGCAAUGGGCGAAAGCCUGACGCAGCGACGCCGCGUGAGGGAUGAAGGUCUUCGGAUCGUAAACCUCUGUCAGCAGGGAAGAACGGUCACUGUGCUAAUCAGCAGUGAAUUGACGGUACCUGCAAAGGAAGCACCGGCUAACUCCGUGCCAGCAGCCGCGGUAAUACGGAGGGUGCGAGCGUUAAUCGGAAUUACGGGGCGUAAAGCGUGCGUAGGCGGUAUGUCAAGUGAAGGGUGAAAUACCCGGGGUCAACGGGGGAACUUCCUUUGAAACUGGGCAACUGGAGUGUGUGAGAGGAUAGUGGAAUUCCAGGUGUAGGAGUGAAAUCCGUAGAGAUCUGGAGGAACAUCAGUGGCGAAGGCGAUUAUCUGGCACAUAACUGACGCUGAGGAGCGAAAGCGUGGGUAGCAAACAGGAUUAGAUACCCCUGUAGUC